GGGAGUCUAGAUUUCUAGGCUACUUACCCAAAGGUUUCACCUGUUUGAUGACAAUAACACAAUAUUGAAUUAUUAGCUUUCUGCUCCAGUGGGUUUGUAGUUACCUUGACAUCAGUUCAGCUCUUUUCCUAUUUGUUUUUCCUUGUGUUUGUAUCUUGUGAACAUGAACGCAGUACAUAUAGAUCCAUAAGUCAAGACAAUUGAUAUCUUUGUUAUGGGUUGGCUGUGUUCCCCCUUCCCGUGUGUGUGGUCCUUUCCCCCUCUUCCCCUGUUGUCUCUGUCUGUGUUGUGUUCACCUGCACCUGAGGCUGCGAGAGGCGUGGCUAUGAGGAUCUGGGUCAAGGGGCGUGGCCAUUCACUCCUGCAGUUUCCACUCAGCUGCAGCUCAUUCCAUUCAUCACCUCUGCGGCAUUUCAACCCGGGCUGUUCACCUCUUCAGUGCCAGAUUGUUAAACUACUCUUGUGCUCCGCCCCGCUCCGCCCCCCACUCAGCGCAGCAGAGAGCAGCCAGACCAAGACGAACAUGAGAAUGGAUGACGACCUGUUGGAAGUUGAAUUUCCAAAGACUUUCAGCGUUCACCGAGAGGUGAAACGCUUGUCCAUAUCCAGCACAGACUUGAAUCAAGAUCGCCUAGUGUCUAUAUUUAAAAUGGAAUUUAUCUAGAAGAUGACAUCACCCACGACACAUUUGUCCCAUGACCAAAGGGAUCCUUCCAGACAGAACUAAUGAGAAAUCAAGGAUCAUUUGCCGUUUGUGGAUCAGCCACAGACUUUGCUGGUGUGCAUCCUGGUGCGCAUCACACAUCUACAAUCAACCAGCUGCCCUACAAUCAACAUCUGCGUCAUGUCGACGCUGGAUAAUUACGAGAAUAUAAUUCGGAAUCUUGUUGAGAAUUCAGAUUAUACUUGCAGGCAUGUGCAAAACUUCUUACAGACGAACUUUGGACUUAACAGGGGGGCAAGCAUCUCAUCAUUAUACAAGUUUUGCACAGAGCACAACAUACACAGACUUGAUUAUGCAAGACUAGGAAGGGAAGGGACACAUCAACUUGUUGCGUCUGCGGCAGCCUCAAGUGGUCCUGUGUAUGGGCGGAGGAUGACGACCGGUUUACUGAGAGCGGCAGGGUUCCGGUUAGGUGAGAGAAGUGUCAGACAUGCAUGUCUCAGGCAUGGGUUGUUUGACCAACUUAGAGUGGACUACGGCAGAGAAUUUUACCUCUGUUUGUAUCAGCAGGACAAUCUGCAGGCAUACAGAAGAAACACUACCAGACCACCAUAUAUACAGAGCCAAUCAAAGCAAAAUUAUACAGCAGAACGCAAGUGGGUAGAAGUUAAUUCUAGAGUUAAUUAUCCCAUAAAAUCACGCUUAUCAGAGAUGGCAAAUGAAGACCUGAUUGACAUGGAUGAUCAAUGUACUAAGUUCGGCAUCUCCGAAUUUGCAGAGCUGUUGCAGAAUUGGUAUAAAGAAGUUUGUGUCUGCAUGAAAUGCCCAUACAAUUCCUCAGAAAGGCAUUCCUGAUGUGUUAUUCCAAGUUCACAAGGCAACAACUUCAGUCCCUGAAGGUCUUCUCCCACCUGCGGAGGUUUUGGCUGCAGACUAUACAAUGUAUGGAGGAUGCCUUACACAUCCAACAGUAUAUGGAACUGAUCCUCUAGAGGGACAACCUGAACUGCAAGAGCAAAGGGAAGCACUGUUCUCAAACAGAUAUAACUUUGAAGAUAUAUUUUGCUGUGCAGUUAUUGGUCGUGCAGACCUGUUCAAAGAGGCUGUUAUUGUAGAUACUAGCUUUAGACUUUUGUGAAGAGAUGACGUGAGUCAAGUUUAUACAGGCAACCAUGCAGCCAUGUUAACUUAAUGAUGGACAUCCAUUUACCAGACUGACAACAUGCAGUACUGCUGUAAAAAAAAACUAUUUUGUCAAGACUUCUUUUGUCAAGUGUUUUCAGUUUUUGAAAUUACUAACUUACAUUUUGCACAUUUCAAAAAUGAAGUGAGAAUGUGACAUUGAGGUGCCUUUAUUACAACAUGGCAACAACUUCAUUAACUGCAGUAUUACACAAGUGAGUCUUAAAACAUGUACAGUGCCCUCUACAUUUAUUUGUACUCCUGGUAAAAUUUACUUGUGUUUUUACCUCUGACCUGGCUAAAAAAUGUCUGAAAAUUCCCGAUUUGCAGUAAACCUAACAACUGAAACCUUUUCCCCUAUGUUUCCAUUGUAACCAGAG